ACCCUGGAGAAAGAAUCUUACAAAGAAUACUAAAGAGCAUCCAAGUGUGAAGAAUGAAACACACAGAUGAGCCCCAAGAGGAUGAGGAAGGGAGAGGCUGGUGGGGGUCUGAUUCUCAUCUCCACCUUAACAGAAUGCACAUGAAGUCCAGCCAUGGUGUAGCCAAGGAGACCCACUAAGACCACCAAAAGCUUGGAAAUGAGGAUGCAGGGGCAAAGGACGGCAUUAUAGGCGCCCUGACUCCAGCUUGGGAGUGGGGUGUCCAGGGACCCUCCAGGAUCGAUGACAACAGACUGAGGGGCAGCUGCAAAACAACUGGAACAAAUCAAACCAAGGCCAAACGUUAACUGCCUCUGGCAACUUCUCCUCUUUCUUCGCCUCUCUCCCAGGACCCAGAAAGGCUAAAGGUUCAGGUCAUAAAAUCCAAACUCCCCGACCCACAAAUCAUCAUUUCCAGCCUGAGGGAGACACCCAACCCUGCCAAGGUCUUCAAGGACACACAUUAGUCAUCGGAUCAGCCCUGCCCAUCCCACCUCCAAGGCCCUUUCAUUUCCACACUCCUCAGAUUGUUCCAUGAGUGGUAGCCAAAUAAAAAGUCCAGGAGGUUCUAAGGGAGCCCUGGGUCUUACCUGGAAUUGUGUGUUACUGGCAACUAAUUCCUGUGGACCGACCCAGGGGAGCUAAGGUUGUCUUUUAGCCCCCCCAUGCAGAGGCCAGAAGACCUCACACUUUUACCAGCCACAAGCCAGAGAUCCCUGCUGUGAGCAGAUGGAGCCUGAGCCACGACCUGCACACGUGUCCUGAAUGAGAUUUGUUCUCCCAGGAGAA
ensembl:lncRNA novel transcript